CUUUCUACAGGCUUAACACAUGCAAGUCGAGGGGCAGCAUGGUCUUAGCUUGCUAAGGCCGAUGGCGACCGGCGCACGGGUGAGUAACGCGUAUCCAACCUGCCUUACACUCUUGGACAGCCUUCUGAAAGGGAGAUUAAUACAAGAUGUUAUCAUGAGUAAGCAUUUUCGCAUGAUUAAAGGUUUACCGGUGUAAGAUGGGGAUGCGUUCCAUUAGAUAGUAGGCGGGGUAACGGCCCACCUAGUCUUCGAUGGAUAGGGGUUCUGAGAGGAGGGUCCCCCACAUUGGAACUGAGACACGGUCCAAACUCCUACGGGAGGCAGCAGUGAGGAAUAUUGGUCAAUGGACGAGAGUCUGAACCAGCCAAGUAGCGUGAAGGAUGAAGGUUCUAUGGAUUGUAAACUUCUUUUAUACGGGAAUAAACGAAUCCACGCGUGGAUUUUUGCAUGUACCGUAUGAAUAAGGAUCGGCUAACUCCGUGCCAGCAGCCGCGGUAAUACGGAGGAUCCGAGCGUUAUCCGGAUUUAUUGGGUUUAAAGGGAGCGUAGAUGGGUUGUUAAGUCAGUUGUGAAAGUUUGCGGCUCAACCGUAAAAUUGCAAUUGAUACUGGCAGUCUUGAGUACAGUUGAGGUAGGCGGAAUUCGUGGUGUAGCGGUGAAAUGCUUAGAUAUCACGAAGAACUCCGAUUGCGAAGGCAGCUUACUAACCUGUAACUGACAUUGAUGCUCGAAAGUGUGGGUAUCAAACAGGAUUAGAUACCCUGGUAGUCCACACGGUAAACGAUGAAUACUCGCUGUAGGCGAUAUACAGUCUGCGGCCAAGCGAAAGCAUUAAGUAUUCCACCUGGGGAGUACGCCGGCAACGGUGAAACUCAAAGGAAUUGACGGGGGCCCGCACAAGCGGAGGAACAUGUGGUUUAAUUCGAUGAUACGCGAGGAACCUUACCCGGGCUUAAAUUGCAACCGAAUAUGGCGGAAACGCUAUAGCUAGCAAUAGCGGUUGUGAAGGUGCUGCAUGGUUGUCGUCAGCUCGUGCCGUGAGGUGUCGGCUUAAGUGCCAUAACGAGCGCAACCCUUGCCGAUAGUUACUAACAGGUCAUGCUGAGGACUCCGUCGGGACUGCCAUCGUAAGAUGUGAGGAAGGUGGGGAUGACGUCAAAUCAGCACGGCCCUUACGUCCGGGGCUACACACGUGUUACAAUGGGGGGUACAGAGGGCUGCUACCACGCAAGUGGAUGCCAAUCCCAAAAACCUCUCUCAGUUCGGAUUGAAGUCUGCAACCCGGCUUCAUGAAGCUGGAUUCGCUAGUAAUCGCGCAUCAGCCACGGCGCGGUGAAUACGUUCCCGGGCCUUGUACACACCGCCCGUCAAGCCAUGGGAGCCGGGGGUACCUGAAGUGCGUAACCGCAAGGAGCGCCCUAGGGUAAAACUGGUGACUGGGGCUA
rnacentral:rRNA from 1 species